UAACAAGGAUUCCCUUAGUAACGG
rnacentral:snRNA from 1 species